UCAACAACAAUAAAAGAAAUCAAAAAUAGAGAAACAUCUACAGGAAGGUGAUUGAGGCCCCUUCAACAACAAUAAAAGAAAUCAAAAAUAGAGAAACAUCUACAGGAAGGUGAUUGAGGCCCCUUCAACAACAAUAAAAGAAAUCAAAAAUAGAGAAACAUCUACAGGAAGGUGGAAGUGACACUUGCUACUGAAGAAAAAUUGAGAGCAGA